rnacentral:rRNA from 1 species
AACGAACGCUGGCGGCAUGCCUAACACAUGCAAGUCGAACGAGACCUUCGGGUCUAGUGGCGCACGGGUGCGUAACGCGUGGGAACCUACCCUUAGGCUCGGAAUAACUCCUCGACAGGGGUGCUAAUACCGGAUAAUGUCUUCUGACCAAAGAUUCAUCGUCUUUGGAUGGGCCCGCGUUGGUUUAGCUAGUGGGUAGGGUAAAAGCCUACCACGGCUUCGAUCCAUAGCUGGUCUGAGAGGAUGGGCAGCGACACUGGGACUGAGACACGGCCCAGACUCCUACGGGAGGCAGCAGUGGGGAAUAUUGGAAAAUGGGGGAAAGCAUGAACCAGCAAGGCCGCGUGAGUGAUGAAGGCCUUAGGGAUGUAAAGCUCGUUUACCCGGGAUGAUAAUGACGGUACCGGGAGAAUAAGCUCCGGCUAACUCCGUG